UACGUGAUAUACAUGUUUAUUCAUGAUAGUAUAUGCGUGUGAUAAAUGAUUUGGAUGACAUAGUGUCGUGAGUUGAUUGAUAUUGGAUAAGAAUAUAUGGAUUAUAGUGAUUGGAUCUUGUUGGUUGAUUGUUGAUUGAGAUAGGAUAACAGGUGGAUAGUCUAAUAAAUAGACGAGACGAUGUCGGAUUUUCGAUAGGAUUCAUAUGAUAAUUGAUUGGUAAUAUGUUAUGUGGAAUAUGACUUGACUAUAUAUUAGAGUCAAAGCAUGAUUAUGUGUUAAGUGAUAUGUGAUAGGUUUAAAGGGGUAUAUAAGUGGGUAUCGAUAUACGUGAUAUGUAUAUGCGAUAUAUUGUUUAGUGACUAUAGUAUUAUCUUAUUCUCGUAAAGGAUUUGGACGAGACGUGUACGCUCGAAGACGUCAGAAAGUCGGAAUGGUAUUGCAAAGCGAAUAAGGGAUGAAUCGAGUAAGCGAAGCGAUGUGGCGAAUAGAGUAUAGCUAGAGAUGGUCUAGAGAUUACGAGAUGCAUAGAUUGUGAAAGUUGAAAGAUGAGAUAGAGAUGUGAGACUGGAGUCAGAUUUAAGGCAAGUAUCCUAAACCUUUCCCUUGGAUAUAUUGCAAAUAUUCUGAUCCAUUCCUUUGGUAUAUGUUUCAAGUAUUCAUACCUUUCUUUUCAAUGUUCGAAAGUGCGAGUAUUCUGAACCAUUCUUUCUAAUCUUCAAGUUUCUAAAGAAUUUCCGUUUUACAAAUUAAUUCGAAGUUCAGAUUGUCAUUGAAGCAUGUGUUGCUCAGUGAUAGUUAGAGCUUUGAAUGAAUUGGGAUCUUCUUGAUUAUUCAACCCGCCAUUGUCAUGCUGGUUUAGCAGGCUAAAUUCAGUUGCUUAGCCGAUAAUGGAGGAUACUGAAUAGUUGAGGAUUUCCUGAACUGUGAUUUAUGAAAUGAUGGAUCAUGAUUUAUGAAUAGAUUAUUAUCAAAGUUUGAAUUGGAAUUAUUCUGUUGUUGAUGAUAUUUAUGAUGAUGUUCUGUUAAUUUACAUUGGCUUCUUGAAUUGAAUUAGAGAAUUGGAUUAUUGUUUUUAUAUAAACCUGUGGACCAGAUUCGUGGUCAUGUUAGGCCAAUGAGUGCCUUGGAUCCAGUGAUAGAGCAUGGCGGGGCCUGCUCGGGGUUAGUGCGGAACUGAUCAGCUGCCUAACCUUGGUUUUAAUUAAAAUGUGAUAGUCCAAUUCAAUAAUUCUUUUGGAAAGAUUGAAUUCCUCAGUAUUCAAUUGCUGCAAGGUAUUGUGGUGUUCUUAUACAAUACCUAAACUCGUGAACUCAGGUUGAACCCUUUUAUAUCUUGAACUCGUGAAAUUCUAUUAUAUCAUUUCAGAACUAUCAUUGUUUAUUAUUACUUGCUGAGCAUUGUUGCUCACCCUUGCUAUUCCUUUCUAACCAUUUCAGAAAGGCUUAAAGAUGAGAUGAUUGAUUGAGAUUGUGAGUAAGGCUAAUGCUAGGCGAGGAGACAGAGUUGAGGAUCCAGUGGUCGAGGAGUGUUCAGGAAAGUUGAUGAGGUUGGUGCAAGCUGGAAUAGUUGACAGUGAUUCUUCUUAUCGAAGAUGAUCUGAUUUGGUAAGAGAUGUUGUGUAAUAAUAGUGGUAGAUUCUAAUUUCAAUACUGUAACCUGGAUGCGAUCCUGUUGCUUUUAGGGGGUUUAAAUGUUCUCUUUCGAAUCAUUUAUUAAAGUUUAAAUGUUCUCUUGAAAUUAUCCUAUUAUGGCUUUCAAGAUUGAAAUUCAGGUUUUGAAAUCAUUCGAUUUAUGUUCUCAUUCAAAUCUUUUAUUAAAUGUUUUCACGUUUUAAAUUCUUUUGGAUUUUCAUUAUCAUUUAAAAAAAAAAAAUACAGGUUUUCAAAAGUGUUUAAAAAUGGGUUUUAUGUGGUGACGUCAGAAUCCAGGCCCCCGGAUUCUCGGACCGUCACAGUUGGUAUCAGAGCAACAGGUUAUAAGUAUUUGAAAUUAGAAUAUAGAUCAUAGUUAUAGGUUUUCUAGAGAAGAAUGUGGUGUAACCUCACAUAGAGGUAUGGUCGGACUAUUUAGGAAUAGUCUAGAGAUGUGAGUGAAGCAUAGAGUUUAGUUAGAUGAUCAAGUUAAUUGUGGAUAUCUAAAGAGAUUAGGAUUCUUAAGUUUAGACAUAUGAUUUCUAGUAUGUUGAUUAAUUGAGAUGGUGAAUUAUGGGAAAGGUCAGUAUUAGACCUAUAUAGAAGAGUUUGAUAGUGAAUGAUUGAGUUGAGAAUGGUGAAAAUGCAGAGUUCAGAGUAUUCUGACUAUACUGCAUAUUUGAAAUUGGAUUAUUGUAUUGAUUUGAGGAUGAUAUAAAUGCAUGGUUCAUAGUAUGUUGACCAUGUCAGAUAUUUGGAAGAUGUAUAUUGUUUUGAGUGAAGAUAUGAAGAGUAAGUGUAGAGUAUGAGUUGUAUUGGAUUAGAAGGAGAGAUUGGUAGAUAGAGGUUGAUAGGUGAGAAGUGAAUGAUAGAGAGUACGUGGAAUUGAGUCCAGUUAUUAGAGAUGAUGUCUACGAGUAAGUUAGAACGUUAGUCCUCGACGACAACGCUUCGAGCUAAUCGGGAUUUCAAAUGGCAUCAAGGUGGGCCCAUAACCCACAGGUUGAUGAUCCAGACAAUCGAAGAUACGUUACGUGUUUGUGCUAUGGAUUUCAAAGGCAACUGGGAUAAAGUAGAAGAAUGUAAACUACAUGGGCCAGAGUUAUUACGGACGAUAACGUCUACGAUGAUAUUUUACGAGGCUAAUACGAGUCAAAUCGAUUGAUUAUCGGGAACGUUGAGAAGAAGACUUACGUCGAACAACGAUUUAUUGAAGUAGAGUCGAAAUCUGAGAAGACCUUGGCAAUACCUCUCUUCAACUAAAGAUUCUUUUGAUUGUUUUCUCAUCAGUGAGAUAUUAUUAUGAUAUCUUUUCUACAAAAGUUUUGAUAAAUGAGAUCUUCAAUUUCUCAAAUUCUAAGAUGACAUUGAUAUUGAUGAUUGGUAUGAGUUGGAAGACAAAGAUGUGUGAUAAAGGAUUGUUGUGAAGAGACAGUGAUGUUCUUUGAUAUUGUUUGACAUUUCUUGACAGUCCUUGAUAUUAUUUCAUCUUCUUGGAUAUCCCAUGAUGUUCUUUGAUAUUUUGAUAUCCGUUGAUAUUCGUUGAUAUUCUUUGACAUUCUUUGAUAUUCCUUGAUAUCUUUUCGAUGUUCCUUAAAAUAUUCCUCGAUAAUCCUUAACAUUUCUUGAUGCUCUUUGAGAUUUCUUGGAUUCUUUCCAUUUGAUUGGGAUGAACAACUCUAUUUAUAGGGGACACAAGGUAUACCUGUCUGUGUGAUAGGAGUUGGAUGGGACGCCAUCACUUGUGUGUGUUGUGAUUACAAGAAGGUUAACAACCUUUAGUAGUGUCUAAUAUAGACACGCAACAUUAAGUUCAUUUGAUCGUAUUGAUCUCCCAGUCACUCUUGUAUUCCAAUGUGACCUACUUUGAAAGCAUUUUGUUCCUCCAAAAUUCCCAAAGAUUGAUUCUUGGGAAAACGAAUUUGGCAAUUGUGAAAGUUUUGAUUCUCCUGUAUUUUUAAAAGCUAAAGGUAUGCCAAGGUUGAUCAAAAGAUGGAUGACGAUACGAUAUUACGAAGUGUGUACGGUUUCGUUUUCUUCGGGGGGUUCCGAGGACGGAAUCCUUAUAAGGGGGUAGAAUGUAAUAUCCCAUAUUUUUUAAAUUUAGACUUGAUUGUUAUAAAUCUAUCUGUCUAAAUAUUAUUGUUGGCUUUAGUUGAGAAGUGAAUUGAUUAUGUGAAUAGCUUUAUAUGAUUAUACCUGUUUUGUGGAUUAAUAUGGAUUUUACAAAUAUUGCAUCCUCCUUCUUUCUCUGAUUCCGAGGACGGAAUCCCUAUAAGGAGGGUAGAUUGUAAUGACCCGGAUUUUUUAAAAAUAUUUUUAUUAGUAUUAAAAGUGAUUUUUCUUUAAAGAAGGGAAUAAGAUUUAAUAUUUUAUUCCAGUUUAAGGAGUUUUCAAAAUUUUAUACUAAACCCCGGGUUAUUGUGUUAUUGAUAAAUGAUUAUAUUUUUAAAACUGAUUUUCAUAUAUUGUUUCGAAAAUUCUAGAUGAUUAUUAUGUGAAUAUAUGUGUGAUGUGAGUAAGUGGUAUUGGUGGAUUUGUUGGUUAAUUAAUUAUGGUUAAUUAUGAGUAUUAUAUGAUUAAUAUAUGAAUUUUUGUGAAUUUUAUAUUAUCUGGUUUAUUGCGUUAACUGCUCAUAUGUGUUCGUAUUUGAGAGAUUUCAAUUUCUAUAUGCUCAGGAGAAAAUAUAGUUUAUUUGGAUAUUUUCAUAUCGAUUUAUGGAAUGUUAGAUGAUUUUAUAAUCGAUUUACGGAUUUAAUUGCGUAUAUUUAUAUUUAAUUAUUAAUUAUUUGACUUCCGUAAAACCGUCCACUCGUAACGAGGUAGCAAAUUUUCUUCCCGGAAGUUUCAACAAAACUGACCUUUAGCCUAAUUUGAAUAUUCCGGACACUUUUCGUGUUUUGACUUUUUCGAUCCGGAGUACGGUUUUCCCCGGAGUCGGUCCGGCGGAGUUUUUCGGGUAUUUUAAUUGUUGAUAAUUAUCCAGUUUGUCUCGAUAAACGUGAAACGAGAUAUUUUGAUUAUUAUAUUAAUUCUUAUCUUGUAAUAAUUGCAAUGGGACCCGCAUACUAAUGACUGAUUAAAAAGCCCCGUUUUGAUGAUUAUCUUGAAAACCAGUACCGAUUGGACCCCGCUUUAUUAAUAUAAAGCUAUUAAAUACGUAUUUUCAUGUCAUAAACGAUCCAAAGGGGUACCAAUUAUUUGUAAAUAUAAAUAGACCUUUCUAGAGCUUAUUUUCACCCGUAAAAUCAUUUCACCAGUUUCUUUGCACGAAUACCGAGAGAAACCGAGCGGUGUUCUUCGUGUUCUUCAUAAUCAAACGAAGAUUUGAAGGUGUUAUUGGAGUCAGAAUCAAGCGUGCAAAUAGUCAAAUCGAAGAUAUCGAAGAGUAGAACCCAAAUCAAUCAUCAAAAACAACAUGAGAUUCACAGGUAGGGAGUAAUUGAAGUUUUAAAAUUCGAAUUAUUAUGAUUUAAAUAGUGAAUUUUUGCAAACGUGUUUGUUUGAUUGUUUGGAUGAUUCCAUGUUGUAGAACGUGUUUUUCUCGUCGUUUUGGUAUAUUAUAUGUUGAAUUUUGAGUUCGGAAACAUCUAGAAAAGUGGGUUUGAUUAUUUGGUUGUGUUCUUGGUGUUCUUGAGGUGUUCAUAAAUAUUUUCACCGGAUUUUUUAUUAGAUGAAUCUGGGUGCAAUAUGAGGGUACCAUCAGGGGUGUUGGGUUACCAGGAGUUUGUUGGUGGUCUUGGAUGUUUCGUGGGUGCUCGAUUUCGAGCAAAUCGGGAAGGGAGGUGACUCGCCGGCGGCGAGUUUUUCCCGUCAUAUUCCAGCCAAACGGCUUGAGGAAUCGCAGAAACGAAGCCAUGUCCAAGUUCCCAGUAGUGUCUAGGCCAUAUCUGGAGGUUUUAGUGUGUGUUGGAGCGCUGUAGCGCCGUUAACGGUGAAGCAGUGGUGGCCGGCGGCAAAUUGCCAUUUGGCCACCCAACUUAUGAAGAUGGUGAAGAUCUGGUAUCGAGGUUUUGAAUCUUACAAAGUAACCCCUGUAACUUCUAAAAGUUACAGUUUAAACCUUGGCCGAAAAGUUUCAAAAGUUUACAAAAUAAACCUUUUGAUUUAAUUUUCUAAAAUUGUUUUAUUUAAUUAUUUUAAAUUUCAAAAAUAGUUUUUAAUUAUUUCUUUAUUCAAAAAUAAAUCUAAAUUAGUUUAUUAAUUAAUUUUAAUUAGUAAUUAAUUAUUUUAAUUGGUCAAUUAAUUUAAAUAUUAAUUGAUUAAUUAUUUUAAUUAAUUAUUAAUUGAUUUUAAUUGAUUAAUUAAUUGGAUUUAAUUAUCCUUUUUGAUUUAAAAAUUCCGAAAAAUAGUUUCGAGCUUUAAAAUAUUUUUCCAAAUUAUAUUCAAGGCUCGAUAAUUGUUUAUGAAUGAUUUCAAGUCCAAUUUCAAGUAUUUGGGACUUGAUUAUUUAUCCGAAAAGUGAUUCUUUUAUCGAUUUUAAUUCCGAAAAAUGUUUAAAAAUUCCAGAAAAUUCCCGAAAAAUCAUUUUGAACCCAAGAUUUGAUUUGACCUCUAUUGGGGUGGGAAACCUUAUGUGUAAUGUGUUGUCUGCUAUUGGUUGGAUGUCUUAUGUGUCGAUAUAAGAGUGAGAAAACGGUUUUAAACAUAUCUUUUGAUCCGUAAGUCGGAAUCGAGUGAAACGAAAGAGAGAUGAAAGCUUAUAAAGUCUAGUUUGGUAUGACAUAAUAAUAUGAUGGAGUCGAGAAUGUGAAUAAUUGUUGUUAAAUGUGCCGAAUGUGAUUAUAUGUUAUUGGAUUGUUAUUAAUUGAUGACUACGUGAUAUAUAUGUCUAUUCUUGAUAUUAUAUACGUGAUAAAUGAUUUGGAUGACAUAGUGUCGUGAGUUGAUUGAUAUUGGAUAAGAAUAUAUGGAUUAUAGUGAUUGGAUCUUGUUGAUUGGUUGUUGAUUGAGAUAGGAUAACAGGUGGAUAGUCUUAUACAUAGAGGAAACGAUGUCGGAAUUUCGAUAAGGAUUGAUAUGAUAAUUGAUUGGUGAUAUGUUAUGUGGAAUAUGAUUGAUUAUAUGUUAGAGUCAAAGCAUGCUUAUGUGUUACGUGGUAUGUGAUAGGUUUAAAGGGGUAUAUAAGUGGAUAUCGAUAUACGUGAUAUGUAUAUGCGAUAUAUUGUUUAGUGACUAUAGCAUUAUCUUAUUCUCGUAAAGGAUUUGGACGAGACGUGUACGCUCGAAGACGUCAGAAAGUCGGAAUGGUAUUGCAAAGCGAAUAAGGGAUGAUUGAGUAAGCGAAGCGAAGUGGCGAAUAGAGUAUAGCUAGAGAUGGUCUAGAGAUUACGAGAUGCAUAGAUUGUGAAAGUGGAAAGAUGAGAUAGAGAUGUGAGACUGGAGUCAGAUUUAAGGCAAGUAUCCUACACCCAUCUUUUGGAUAUCUUGCAAUUAUCCUGAUCCAUUCUUUUCGUAUGUGUUGCAAAUAUUCGUUCCUCUCUUUUUCAUAUUUGGAAAGUGCAAAUAUUUUUAUCCAUCCUUUUCUAAUCCUCCAAAAAUUCAGAUAAUUCCAGUUUUACAAAUUAAUUCGAAGUUCAAAUUGUCAUUGAAGCAUGUGUUGCUCAGUGAUAGUUAGAGCUUUGAAUGAAUUGGGAUCUUCUUGAUUAUUCACCCCGCCAUUGUCAUGCUGGUUUAGCAGGCUAAAUUCAGUUGCUUAGCCGAUAAUGGAGGAUACUGAAUAGUUGAGGAUUUCCUGAACUGUGAUUUAUGAAAUGAUGGAUCAUGAUUUAUGAAUAGAUUAUUAUCAAAGUUUGAAUUGGAAUUAUUCUGUUGUUGAUGAUAUUUAUGAUGAUGUUCUGUUAAUUUACAUUGGCUUCUUGAAUUGAAUUAGAGAAUUGGAUUAUUGUUUUUAUAUAAACCUGUGGACCAGAUUCGUGGUCAUGUUAGGCCAAUGAGUGCCUUGGAUCCAGUGAUAGAGCAUGGCGGGGCCUGCUCGGGGUUAGUGCGGAACUGAUCAGCUGCCUAACCUUGGUUUUAAUUAAAAUGUGAUAGUCCAAUUCAAUAAUUCUUUGGAAAGAUUGAAUUUCUCAGUUUAAAUGCUGCAAGGUAUUGUAAAUCAUUCUAUACAAUACCAUGAACUCAUGAACUCAGGUUGAAUCCUCUUAUAUCUUGAACUCGUGAACUUCUGUUAUAUCAUUUCAGAACUAUCAUUGUUUAUUAUUACUUGCUGAGCAUUGUUGCUCACCCUUGCUAUUCCUUUCUAACCAUUUCAGAAAGGCUUAAAGAUGAGAUGAUUGAUUGAGAUUGUGAGUAAGGCUAAUGCUAGGCGAGGAGACAGAGUUGAGGAUCCAGUGGUCGAGGAGUGUUCAGGAAAGUUGAUGAGGUUGGUGCAAGCUGGAAUAGUUGACAGUGAUUCUUCUUAUUGAGGAUGAUCUGAUUUGGUAAGAGAUGUUGUGUAAUAAUAGUGGUAGAUUCUAAUUUCAAUACUGUAACCUGGAUGCGAU
rnacentral:lncRNA from 1 species